rnacentral:rRNA from 1 species
AAGGAGGUGAUCCAGCCGCAGGUUCCCCUACGGUUACCUUGUUACGACUUCACCCCAGUCAUGAAUCACAAAGUGGUAAGCGCCCUCCCGAAGGUUAAGCUACUUACUUCUUUUGCAACCCACUCCCAUGGUGUGACGGGCGGUGUGUACAAGGCCCGGGAACGUAUUCACCGUAGCAUUCUGAUCUACGAUUACUAGCGAUUCCGACUUCAUGGAGUCGAGUUGCAGACUCCAAUCCGGACUACGACAGACUUUAUGUGGUCCGCUUGCUCUCGCGAGUUCGCUUCACUUUGUAUCUGCCAUUGUAGCACGUGUGUAGCCCUACUCGUAAGGGCCAUGAUGACUUGACAUCAUCCCCACCUUCCUCCGGUUUGUCACCGGCAGUCUCUCUUGAGUUCCCACCAUUACGUGCUGGCAACAAAGGAUAAGGGUUGCGCUCGUUGCGGGACUUAACCCAACAUUUCACAACACGAGCUGACGACAGCCAUGCAGCACCUGUCUCACGGUUCCCGAAGGCACUAAAGCAUCUCUGCUAAAUUCCGUGGAUGUCAAGAGUAGGUAAGGUUCUUCGCGUUGCAUCGAAUUAAACCACAUGCUCCACCGCUUGUGCGGGCCCCCGUCAAUUCAUUUGAGUUUUAACCUUGCGGCCGUACUCCCCAGGCGGUCGACUUAACGCGUUAGCUCCGGAAGCCACGCCUCAAGGGCA